rnacentral:rRNA from 1 species
ACGGGGGGAGCAAGCGUUGUUCGGAUUUACUGGGCGUAAAGCGCUCGCAGGUGGUCCGAUGCGUCGUGCGUGAAAGACCCCGGCUCAACUGGGGGGUGUCGUGCGAUACGGUCGGACUGGAGGCCAGUAGGGGGAUGCGGAAUUCCGGGUGUAGUGGUGGAAUGCGUAGAGAUCCGGAGGAACACCAGCGGCGAAGGCGGCAUCCUGGACUGGUCCUGACACUCAUGAGCGAAAGCGUGGGGAGCGAUCCGG